rnacentral:rRNA from 1 species
UACAGAGGGGGCAAGCGUUGUUCGGAAUUACUGGGCGUAAAGGGCGCGUAGGCGGCCUGUUAAGUCGAACGUGAAAUCCCCGGGCUCAACCCGGGAACUGCGUCCGAAACUGGCAGGCUUGAAUCCGGGAGAGGGAUGCGGAAUUCCAGGUGUAGCGGUGAAAUGCGUAGAUAUCUGGAGGAACAUCGGUGGCGAAGGCGGCAUCCUGGACCGGUAUUGACGCUGAGGAGCGAAAGCGUGGGGAGCGAACAGG